GGAAUAUUGGUCAAUGGACGCAAGUCUGAACCAGCCAUGCCGCGUGAAGGAUUAAGGCCCUCUGGGUUGUAAACUUCUUUUAUAUGGGACGAAAUGUGCCGAUUCUUCGGCACUUGACGGUACCAUAGGAAUAAGCACCGGCUAACUCCGUGCCAGCAGCCGCGGUAAUACGGAGGGUGCAAGCGUUAUCCGGAUUCACUGGGUGUAAAGGGUGCGCAGGCGGAUGGGUAAGUCAGGGGAGAAAGUCUGCAGCUUAACUGUAGAAUUGCCUUUGAUACUGCUCAUCUGGAGUGUGGGAGAGGUUGAUGGAAUUCCAGGGGUAGCAGUGAAAUGCGUAGAUACCUGGAAGAACACCAGUGGCGAAGGCGGUCAACUGGCCCAUAACUGACGCUCAUGCACGAAAGCGUGGGGAGCAAACA
rnacentral:rRNA from 1 species